GGGCCCGCACAAGCGGUGGAGUAUGUGGUUUAAUUCGAUGCAACGCGAAGAACCUUACCAGGGUUUGACAUCCUGCGAAUCUCUUGGAAACGAGAGAGUGCCUUCGGGAACGCAGUGACAGGUGGUGCAUGGCUGUCGUCAGCUCGUGUCGUGAGAUGUUGGGUUAAGUCCCGCAACGAGCGCAACCCACGUCUUUAGUUGCCAGCAUUUAGUUGGGCACUCUAGAGAGACUGCCGGUGAUAAACCCGGAGGAAGGUGAGGAUGACGUCAAGUCAGCAUGCCCCUUACAUCCUGGGCUACACACGUGCUACAAUGGUAAGGACAAAGAGAAGCUAAUUCGCGAGAACACG
rnacentral:rRNA from 1 species